ensembl:lncRNA IDH1-AS1 IDH1 antisense RNA 1
AGCGAGAGGGGCGUGGCCACAGUCAAAGAUGGAGAAUCCAUGGUGCCACUUUCCCGGUGAUCCCGGUGGGGGAAGGGGUUGCCGCCCGGCAGAGAUUCAGUCCCGAAUCCCGACAGCGAAGAGACUUGUAUGCCACCUGCAGGCCGGGGAGCGGGGCGCGCUGGGGCUGCACCACCCCGAACUUUGUAACAAUCUAGAGCACCACAGAGUGUUUCCAGAGAUGGGUUUCAGCAGCCCAGGCUGGUCUCGAACUCCUGGACUCAAGUGAUUGGCCCUCCUCGGCCUCCCAAAGUCCUGGGAUUACAAGCGUGAGCCACCAUGCUCAGUUGGCGGGGGAUUAUCUGUGAUCCAAUGAAGUUGGACUAGAGAUGUGAAGCCUUAGAAAACGGUGGAUUGAAAAAAGAAUUUUAGUCUCCUCCAGAGAUUAUAUUUUGUGUGUUCAUUGCUCUCAAAAACAUGAAAAUAAAGAGUAUUUUAUAUUGUGAUUUGUAGGACAA